UACGUAGGUGGCAAGCGUUAUCCGGAAUUAUUGGGCGUAAAGCGCGCGCAGGUGGUUUCUUAAGUCUGAUGUGAAAGCCCACGGCUCAACCGUGGAGGGUCAUUGGAAACUGGGAGACUUGAGUGCAGAAGAGGAAAGUGGAAUUCCAUGUGUAGCGGUGAAAUGCGUAGAGAUAUGGAGGAACACCAGUGGCGAAGGCGACUUUCUGGUCUGUUCUUGACGCUGAGGCGCGAAAGCUAGGGUAGCAAACGGG
rnacentral:rRNA from 1 species